rnacentral:rRNA from 1 species
AAACGCGGAUCAAACCGCGAACUUCUAAACCUUUGACGAUUGACUCAUGUUGCCUCGGCGGGUGCUCCCGCCAGAGGAUACAUCAAAACUCCUGUUUUAACGGUGUUGUCUGAGCUACAAGCAACGAAUCAAAACUUUCAACAACGGAUCUCUUGGUUCUGGCAUCGAUGAAGAACGCAGCGAAAUGCGAUAAGUAGUGUGAAUUGCAGAAUUCAGUGAAUCAUCGAAUCUUUGAACGCACAUUGCGCCCCUUGGUAUCCCGAGGGGCAUGCCUGUUCGAGCGUCAUUUCACCACUCAAGCCUGGCUUGGUGUUAGGCGACGUCCCCUUUGGGGACGCGCCUCGAAACGCUCGGCGGCGUGGCACCGGCUUUAAGCGUANCAGAAUCUUUCGCUUUGAAAGUCGGGGCCCCGUCUGCCGGAAGACCUACUCGCAAGGUUGACCUCGGAUCAGGCAGGGAUACCCGCUGAACUUAANCAUAUCAAUAAGCGGAGGAA